GAUGAAGAACGUAGCGAAAUGCGAUAAGUAAUGUGAAUUGCAGAAUUCAGUGAAUCAUCGAAUCUUUGAACGCACCUUGCGCCCCUUGGUUAUUCCAAAGGGCAUGCCUGUUUGAGUAUCAUGAACACCUCAACUCUUGUGGUUUCCCACAAUGAGCUUGGACUGUGGAGGUUUUGUUGGCCCUGUGGUCAGCUCCUCUCAAAUGGAUCAGCUUACCGGUGUUUGGUGGCAUUACGGGUGUGAUAACUAUCUACGCUCGUGGUCGUCUCCAUAUAACCUCCAGUGAUGGAGGUUCGCUGGAGCUUAUAAAUGUCUCUCCCCAGUGAAGACAGCCUUUGAACGUUCGAUCUCAAAUCAGGUAGGACUACCCGCUGAACUUAAGCAUAUCAAUAAGCGGAGGA
rnacentral:misc_RNA from 1 species